rnacentral:lncRNA from 1 species
AUGUUUUGUGUACUAAGUCUUAUCUUCACAGGAAGUGAAUAUACUGUGUGUGUGUGUGUGUGUGUGUGUGUGAUAUGUAAUUUAUGGGACAGUUUUUCAACAAUGUUUCUGUCUGUACUGCAGGGAGAUGUUGUGUUCCAGAAGUUGUCGGCAGACGAGCUGAACACCCCCACAGUAGGAUCCAGCGACCUCAGCAACCUGUCAGCACACACUGCUUCACGCCCCCCCCACUGCCAUGCCUGCCUCCCGGGAGGGGCGGGGCCUUUUCCGAACGGCCAGCAAGAGGAAGGGGAGGCGUGCUCUGCUCAGACGGCUGUAGAGGACUGUGGGAAGGCGUCUGAUAAAAGAAGCGAAGCCGCAGCCCAGCAGCCGAGGGAGGGCGAGGCUUUAGCUUUCAGCGCACCAUCCUGUGGAAAUCAGCCGGAGGAAGCUGAUAGAGAGAGGACAGGCUUAAUCACCGCCAGGCAGGGCGGCAAGGCAGGUCGCCGUAAAAGAAACAAAGCGGAGAGAGAGAAGAGGAGGGCAGAGACGUUCGCCGCUGCCCUGGCUUCAUCGGCCAUGGGCCAGACACAGUCCCAGGAGAGCCAGGAACACCCGGAAGACGGGCAGGAAGACAGGCAGGAACCCCAGCGGGCCGGGGAGAGGACUGCUAACAGCGGUGACAUGGGGGCUCAGGAAACCGCACACAGGCAGGGAGAGCCUGAGAUCAUCCAGGAGACCCCUGUGGAAAACGGCAAGUUGGGGUACGCCGAGGCGGCCACUGAAUGUGCCCUUCAGACGACGACGGGAGCCAAGAGCUGCCACGGGGCGCACGCUACGGAGUCACAGGACUCGGAACAAAGACAGGAAACUGCUGCAGCCGUGACAAGUUAUUCUGAGGAGCACGAGUGGGGCUUUAGCUGCCGCCAGACCCCUGGGGCCGAGGAGGAGGGAGGCGGGGACGGGGGCGGUGCUGACGACACUGAGACAGAGGCAGGAAACCCCAGCCAACCGACCAACGGAUUCAGCCCUGAGUCAACCAGCAGCAGGAGCGGAGGCGCCCAGACAACCGACGCAAGCCGAAGCCCCAGCAUGGCGGAGGGAGACAGCGAGAGCGGAUGUUUCCGACAACCUGAUAGAGUUCCGUCACCACAACCGAGUGAGCCGGUCCCGGGCUCGGAGCCGCAGGACACAGCGGAGAUAGCGGCACCACCACAAAGUAGGCCGGACCCGGACGGCGCCCGAGACCGGGGAGGGCAGGAACGCGACGAACAGACGUCCGCCGACAUUUCCUUGGCCGAGGAGGAGAAGGAGCUCGUCCAGGCAGUUGAUCCGUCUGAAGAGAGCGCUGUGGGAGGACAGGAGACGCCCAGGAUAAAUAAGCUCUCCGUUCAGUGGGCGUCGCUGGAGGAGACAGACUCCCUGGCUCACAGGGAAGAGAUAGCAGCCACGGCAAUAGCAGUAGUGGCCAUAGCCAUCGCAGCUGCUGUCGCAAAUGUAGAACAAUGCAACGCCACGCUGGAGGAGAGCCAGGCCUUGGAGACUGCCAGGAGCCAGCCUCUGACCGGACCCCAAGACACUGCGCCAAUGGCUGGGGUCACAGUCUCUGAGGCCACCCUCGCCACCUCAGACGAAAGUCCAACCUUCACUCCCGAGGAUUCGGAGAACCCCUCAAAGGGAGAGGCAGAGCCUAACCUCAGACAACACGAGGAGAACGGCGACCAGGCUAGUGAGAGGCCUGAAAGUGGACCGGGAUUGGAGGCCGGUCCGGCAGGACUGAGUACACCCCAGGGAGACUCCCAGUCUGACACACUGUUUCAUCAUGAAAGGGCCGCAGACACACUUGGCGAUGAGGUCAUCACUUCCCCCUGUCCCUCCCCAGAGUGGUCUUCAGAGCUGACACAACAGGAGAUUUUUCCUUCAGACAUAGGAGUGACCCUUGGAACCCAGACACACCCAGACGGUGGUUGGUCGCGGAGUCCAGAGACGACUUCCCUGUCAGACCUAGACAGUGGAACAUGCCUGGGUGAUGAGCAGCACAGCUCCUCAGUGGAAGUAGACAGUGGAGAGUCCCUGGCCAUACAGCCCUCAGACACACUGGAUAUGCUGGAUGCAGGGAACGAGGGAACGAUGGAUACUGAAGGAGACAGUACAAAAGAUUUGAGGCCAGCUCUUGACGAGUGUCCGACAGCCCAAGACACAGACUGCAGAGCUCAUGAACAGGAGGAGGAGGAGAUGAAACCCCUCUCAGACAUGGCAGACGAGACGCUGAUCCACACAGAGAAGGAGACAUUCUACCCGGUCCAGCCCUGCUCAGAGCCCACAAUACAGGAAACAUCCACCAUCCCAGAAUGCACAGAAUGCCCAGAGAACCCAUGCUCCGACAGUGUUGGAGGGUCAGUGUGUGGAGGCCUGCCAGACUCAGUCAGUGAUGCCGACAGUCUGAUCAGUGCAGAGCUGGGAGAGGACAGCGUCUUCAGAAAGGUGAGAUCAGCUUUAUAGGCACAACAGUGCCAAAGGAGAACAUUCUAUUUCGAGUCGCUCAUCCUACAGAACAAACUGUUCCUUUAUGUGCCAUGUUUUCAGUGAUGUAGUUCCAUGUAAUUCCCAGCUAGUUUUCCUUAAUGUGAGUCGAUCCCUUCAGACCUCAGC